UGUCAUCCUUGAAUAUAUUGAUGAAACUUGGAAAAAUGCUUCUCCCCUUCUGCCUGAAGAUCCCUAUAAGAAAGCCAAAGUUCGCUUCUGGGCUAGUUUUAUCCAGCAACAGUUGUUUGAGGCUAUGGGCAAAGUCAUGACGCAGGAUGGAGAAGCACAAGAGAAAGCUGCAGACGAAGUGUUUGAGAAAAUGAAAGCAUUGGAAGAGGGAAUGAGUGAAUUCUUUCCGGAGGGCAUUCAGGAUAUAGACGUCACAAAAAUUGGAUUAUUAGACAUCUUGAUGAGCACAACAUUUGGGUCCUUCAAGGUUUUUGAGGAAGUGAUUGGUGUAAAAAUUCUUGUGCCUGAAAGAAACCCAUUGAUAUACAAAUGGGUGAUAGCCUUGAAACAAGUUCCAUUGGUGCAAGAGUCACUCUCUUCCCCUCACAAGCUUGCGGCUCUUCUUCAACAUUAUAGACAGAAUACUAUAAAACCUCGCAAUUAGAUAUCAGUGCGUGGAAUUGUUGCUGUUUGUUGUGUUGGGUCUCAUUUCAAUAAGAUAACAACCUUUUGUUUGUGGGGCAAAUUCAACUUUAGUCCCUUUCUUAU
rnacentral:misc_RNA from 1 species